UUAUACAGUUUAAUAAACUGAAGUUUAUUAACUUUCGGGUUUAGCAAGUUUCUAAUUGUGGUAAAUUAAGAGUUAAACUAAAAUCGAACCUAUUUGUGAAAUAUUCACUAAUGCUAUUAUUGUUCCGCUGGAUUAUCGGUCGUUUUUGAUGAAAACAUUCCCCACAUGAUGCGGAUUGCUCUUUAAGAACAUCGUCUCUGUUAAAUGGUCAGAUGUCAGAUGUGAAGGGUUCAGCUGAUGUUAACUUUACCAUGAUGUCAACACAUUUUUGGUCCAUUCCAAGCAAUAUGCGUGCAAAAAUCUCAUUUACUGCGGCCUUUCAUGUGAACCUCCAACUAAUUGGUAAAUUAAGCUUUUCAAAAGUCAUCACAUGCUUUUCAAGCUAAAGAUAUCGAGACGAGAAGACGGCUGGCUAUCAGUGUAUUGAUUAAACUAAUUGUUAAGAGGCUCAACUCACAAAUCAACACCAUCUUUGUAAACUUUCUUCAUCAGGAUCAUCAUUUCCAAAAUCAACAAGCUCAUCUAUCCAUUACUCUCCUUUUCCCCUUGUCUCGCUCAUUUCUCUCUACCAACAUGCAAUUUCUUUGUUUGUCUACGUUAGCCUAUUCCCCCUCUCUAUCUGUAUCUUUCUCUUUCUGUCUCUCCCUUUAUUAAGGUGUAUAUUACUUACAAGUUUCACUUCUAUUCAACUUCUCCAUCAUCAUCAUCAUCAUCUUACAUCUCAAGUGGCCUCUUGUAAGAUUUUUUGCUUUGUUUGAAAACCUGUGGCGACAAAUGGUUACAUCCAGGCAUCCAGGACAAGUCUAUUUGCCAUAAUAGCUCUUUAGCUGGACAAGUUUUUUCCAGUUGUCAUUACAUUUUGGUCAUAUAUUUUGUUGUUAAUCUCUUUCCAUGGAAAUCUUGUUUACCACUAAUUGGAUUUAAUUUUCAAAACACAACCUAAUCAUCUUGUUCAUCUAGAUAAACUUCUCUCUCUCUCUUUCUCUUUCUUUCCCUAUUCCCCUCUCAUUUCUCUCUCUCUCUCUCUUACACUCUCACUCUUACUGUGUGUUUCUUUGAUUGUUUAUCAUGAAAAGCUUGAUGAGUUGCCUUUUCUUCUUUCUCGUGUAAUAUUUACUUAACUUCCAAUAUGGUUGAAACAUUAUCAUCAUCAUUAUUAUUAGCAGCAUUAAUAGUAAUUAAGAGUGUUAGCUGUUAACAAAUUAAAUGAAAAAAAGUGAUAGAGAGACACAAGAAAGAGAGAGACAGAGAGAGCAAGUAAGAUUACACUCAAUACCAAAUCAAAUGAUCGAUUGUUUACCAUUAUUAUAUUAUCACCAUGAUAUUAUAAAGAAGAAAGAAAAUGUCUUGAACAAAAACUCAUCUUCAUCUUGAUCAGAAACAAUGACAUUACAACAAUCAUCUGUAUCAUUUAAAAUGAAACAAUCAAUUCACUUACAAUACAAAAAAAAGUAACACUAAAUUUAAGUAAAAGUUAACCUGACCAAUAGAUGCCGCCUCUAUCCUUAAACCAGAAAAAAUUAAAUGUUAAAACAAAAUAACCUAAAAAAUGUAAAAAAACCAACAAUCGCCAUUUAAAACAUUGAAAAGUGUGUAAUGAUUAAACACUUAU